GAGUUGACUCCUACGUGAGGCAGCAGUAGGGAAUCUUCGGCAAUGGACGAAAGUCUGACCGAGCAACGCCGCGUGAGUGAAGAAGGUUUUCGGAUCGUAAAGCUCUGUUGUAAGAGAAGAACGAGUGUGAGAGUGGAAAGUUCACACUGUGACGGUAUCUUACCAGAAAGGGACGGCUAACUACGUGCCAGCAGCCGCGGUAAUACGUAGGUCCCGAGCGUUAUCCGGAUUUAUUGGGCGUAAAGCGAGCGCAGGCGGUUAGAUAAGUCUGAAGUUAAAGGCUGUGGCUUAACCAUAGUACGCUUUGGAAGCUGUUUAACUUGAGGGCAGAAGGGGAGAGUGGAAUUCAAUGUGUAGCGGUGAAAUGCGUAGAUAUAUGGAGGAACACCGGUGGCGAAAGCGGCUCUCUGGUCUGUAACUGACGCUGAGGCUCGAAAGCGUGGGGAGCAAACAGGAUUAGAAACCCCUGUAGUCCGA
rnacentral:rRNA from 1 species